CGCGGCCUAUCAGCUUGUUGGUGGGGUAAUGGCCUACCAAGGCGACGACGGGUAGCCGGCCUGAGAGGGCGACCGGCCACACUGGGACUGAGACACGGCCCAGACUCCUACGGGAGGCAGCAGUGGGGAAUAUUGCGCAAUGGGCGAAAGCCUGACGCAGCGACGCCGCGUGAGGGGUGAAGGCCUUCGGGUUGUAAACCUCUUUCAGCAGGGACGAAGCGAAAGUGACGGUACCUGCAGAAGAAGCACCGGCUAACUACGUGCCAGCGGCCGCGGUAAUACGUAGGGUGCAAGCGUUGUCCGGAUUUAUUGGGCGUAAAGAGCUCGUAGGCGGUUUGUCGCGUCGGAUGUGAAAACCCAGGGCUCAACCCUGGGCCUGCAUUCGAUACGGGCAGACUAGAGUAUGGCAGGGGAGACUGGAAUUCCUGGUGUAGCGGUGAAAUGCGCAGAUAUCAGGAGGAACACCGGUGGCGAAGGCGGGUCUCUGGGCCAAAACUGACGCUGAGGAGCGAAAGCGUGGGGAGCGAACAGGAUUAGAUACCCUGGUAGUCCACGCCGUAAACGUUGGGCGCUAGGUGUAGGGGACCUUCCACGUCCUCUGUGCCGCAGCUAACGCAUUAAGCGCCCCGCCUGGGGA
rnacentral:rRNA from 1 species